UAAGGAAUAUUGGACAAUGGACGCAAGUCUGAUCCAGCCAUGCCGCGUGAAGGAUGACUGCCCUCUGGGUUGUAAACUUCUUUUAUAGGGGAAGAAAGUUAUUUUUUAGGAUAUUUGACGGUACCCUAUGAAUAAGCACCGGCUAACUCCGUGCCAGCAGCCGCGGUAAUACGGAGGGUGCAAGCGUUAUCCGGAUUCACUGGGUUUAAAGGGUGCGUAGGCGGGUAUGUAAGUCAGUGGUGAAAUACCGGAGCUUAACUUCGGAACUGCCAUUGAUACUAUAUAUCUUGAAUAUUGUGGAGGUAAGCGGAAUAUGUCAUGUAGCGGUGAAAUGCUUAGAGAUGACAUAGAACACCGAUUGCGAAGGCAGCUUGCUACGCAAAUAUUGACGCUGAGGCACGAAAGCGUGGGGAUCAAAACAGGAUUAGAUACCCUGGUAGUCCACGCCCUAAAACGAUGAUUACUCGACAUUAGCGAUACACAGUUAGUGUCUGAGCGAAAGCAUUAAGUAAUCCACCUGGGAAGUACGACCGCAAGGUUGAAACUCAAAGGAAUUGACGGGGUCAUAGCUG
rnacentral:rRNA from 1 species